CCUACGGGGGGCAGCAGUAGGGAAUAUUGCACAAUGGGGGAAACCCUGAUGCAGCGACGCCGCGUGAGUGAAGAAGUAUCUCGGUACGUAAAGCUCUAUCAGCAGGGAAGAAAAAAAGUCUUUGGCUUUGGACGGUACCUGACUAAGAAGCCCCGGCUAACUACGUGCCAGCAGCCGCGGUAAUACGUAGGGGGCAAGCGUUAUCCGGAUUUACUGGGUGUAAAGGGAGCGUAGACGGGCUAACAAGUUAGUUGUGAAAUCCCUCGGCUCAACUGAGGAACUGCAACUAAAACUAUUAGUCUUGA
rnacentral:rRNA from 1 species